GACGAACGCUGGCGGCGUGCUUAACACAUGCAAGUCGAACGGAAAGGCCCUGCUUGCAGGGUACUCGAGUGGCGAACGGGUGUGUAACACGUAGGUGAUCUGCCCUGCACUUCGGGAGAAGCUUUGGAAACUGGGUCGUAUACCGGAUAGGAACCAUCUUAAGUGUGGUGGGUGGAUAGUUGUUUCGGUGUAGUAUGAUCUCGUGGCCGAUCAGGUUGUUGGUGGGGUAAUGGCCUACCAAGGCGGAGACGGGUAGCCGGCCUGAGAGGGUGUACGGCCACAGUGGGACUGAGAUACGGCCACGACUCCUACGGGAGGCAGCAGUGGGGAAUAUUGAACAAUGGGCGCAAGCCUGAUGCAGCGACGCCGCGUGGGGGAUGAAGGCCUUCGGGUUGUAAACUCCUUUCGCUAGGGACGAAGCUUUGUUGUGACGGUACCUAGAUAAGAAGCACCGGCUAACUACGUG
rnacentral:rRNA from 1 species